AAUGAACGCUGGCGGCGUGCCUAACACAUGCAAGUCUACGAGAAAAGGGUAGCAAUAUCCUGAGUAAAGUGGCGCACGGGUGAGUAACACGUAGGCAAUCUGCCUUCAGGACGGGAACAACCCCGAGAAAUCGAGGCUAAUACCCGAUAAUGCAGCGGCACCGCAUGGUGACAGUUGUUAAAUGCCCGCAAGGGCGCCCGAAGAUGAGCCUGCGCCCCANAGGUAGUUGGUGAGGUAACGGCCCACCAAGCCUACGAUGGGUAGCUGAUCUGAGAGGAUGAUCAGCCACACUGGAACUGAGACACGGUCCAGACUCCUACGGGAGGCAGCAGUGAGGAAUAUUGCGCAAUGGCCGAAAGGCUGACACAGCGACGCCGCGUGAAGGAUGAAGUCCGUUAGGAUGUAAACUUUC
rnacentral:rRNA from 1 species